rnacentral:rRNA from 1 species
CCUACGGGUGGCUGCAGUGGGGAAUAUUGCACAAUGGGCGCAAGCCUGAUGCAGCCAUGCCGCGUGUGUGAAGAAGGCCUUCGGGUUGUAAAGCACUUUCAGCGGGGAGGAAGGCGGUGAGGUUAAUAACCUCAUCGAUUGACGUUACCCGCAGAAGAAGCACCGGCUAACUCCGUGCCAGCAGCCGCGGUAAUACGGAGGGUGCAAGCGUUAAUCGGAAUUACUGGGCGUAAAGCGCACGCAGGCGGUCUGUCAAGUCGGAUGUGAAAUCCCCGGGCUCAACCGGGGAACUGCAUUCGAAACUGGCAGGCUAGAGUCUUGUAGAGGGGGGUAGAAUUCCAGGUGUAGCGGUGAAAUGCGUAGAGAUCUGGAGGAAUACCGGUGGCGAAGGCGGCCCCCUGGACAAAGACUGACGCUCAGGUGCGAAAGCGUGGGGAGCAAACAGGAUUAGAUACCCCAGUAGUC